rnacentral:lncRNA from 7 species
GAAAAACUUGGUCUCUUUAUGCCUGGUUAAUUAAUAUCCUCACAAGUCCAAAACAAGAGUUGAAAAGAGAAGCCUUGCCAACAGAGAACAUCAGCACUUUUUAAUUAUGCUCUUUGUGGUAAAAGGUGGGCCGGUGAGAUGACCUACAGGAGGAAGUCAGCACUUUUUGAGCUUCUUCAAAGGAGACUUUUGAAACUAAGAAAACCUGUAUUUUCACAGAAAAAAAAUCAAACAGUAAAUGACCUAAUGCCUGUUACAAAGACACCUGAUUAAAGCAAAUUCGACGUACAGUUUAGAAUAGACUAGCAUCAAACGGUCUGAAAGGGAACAGAUGAACCAAGAAAAUUGAAAGUCAAUGGAAAUCAUAAAUACCUCCUGAUUACGUGGAUUUUUCCCAGUCACUUUUGAAAAGUAACAAGGAACAUCUGAUCUCUCUGCUCCUGCUCUAAUUAGGUUGAAAGGUGAAUUCUUCAAAAGAGGGAGGCACUGCUUGUGGUUACCUGCUGCAGAUAAGAGUCUGUUGUGAAGUUGCACGUUUUUGCACACUUCAACUUUCCAAAUAAAUGUUUCUUCCAAUUUGAAUAUUU